CCCCUCUCAGGAUCACACCUGGAGAGUUUCCAGUAUUCUACGGGUCUUGACUGCAGGAGGGAGAGUCAAGCAGAGGCAUACCCAUUCCAUUCCUAGCUUGGCCAGUGGCUAAGGAGUGGAAAGCAAUCUGCUAUAAGU
rfam:Ornithorhynchus anatinus chromosome 4, whole genome shotgun sequence.